GUAGGUGGCAAGCGUUGUCCGGAAUUAUUGGGCGUAAAGCGCGCCCAGGCGGUCCUUUAAGUCUGAUGUGAAAGCCCACGGCUCAACCGUGGAGGGUCAUUGGAAACUGGGGGACUUGAGUACAGAAGAGGAAAGCGGAAUUCCAAGUGUAGCGGUGAAAUGCGUAGAGAUUUGGAGGAACACCAGUGGCGAAGGCGGCUUUCUGGUCUGUAACUGACGCUGAGGCGCGAAAGCGUGGGGAGCAAACAGGAUUAGAUACCCUGGUAGUCCACGCCGUAAACGAUGAGUGCUAAGUGUUAGGGGGUUUCCCGCCCCCCUUAGUGCUGCAGCUAACGCAUUAAGCACUCCGCCUGGGGAGUACGGCCCGCAAGGCUGA
rnacentral:rRNA from 1 species